CAGCGCCCCUGCGGGGAGAGCCGGUCAGCACGUUGAAGAAGGAAAUGAUAGAGUAAAUCAGAGAGGGUCCCACGCACUGGAGAGAGACCUCCGAGGCGGACCCUCAGGCCCUUCUGUGGUGGGGGACACCCCACCAGCCCCAUGAUACCCGAGAGCGCAGGAAUGGUGUGGAGGGUUCCACACGGGCAGUCAGCCAGGAAAGGACUCAGUGUCCCUGCUCUGGAGCCCAGUCGGGGCCGCCUGUGCCUUGGAGUAGGUGGACAGAUACACGACCUGUGGUGCAUCCGGACCGCGCGCGGACCAAAUGAGCUCUCGUGAGGGGAAAAGACGUGGAGGAGACCUAGCGCGUGUCACUAAGUGAACGAAGCCAAUCUGUGUGAAGGGGGUCUCUGAGGGGCUGGGAUCCGCUUUCCCCAGAGGGACCCAACACGCCUUCUAGUCCACAAGCCACAGGUCCAAGGCCUGGCCUGCCGUCUGGUAGCCUCUGAGCAGCUGAGAGAAGGGCCUGGGAAGGACCCAGAAAGGGCUCGAGGGGGUACAGCCCAGGGGAACCCCUCCAGCAGGAGCAGCCCCCCACCCACCCCUUCAGUGCAUGUGGGGCCAGCUCCUUGUCUUUGAGGCGCUCAGACCACCACCGCCCCUCCAGCCACCGGACCCGCCUCUCGUACACCCACUUGAUCUUCCUUCAAAAGUCGUUGGAAUUUGCCUUCCCACCCUCGCCAUGCCCCAUAAGGGUGCACCCCUCCAGAGCCCAGGCCACGUGCAGGGGGGCAGCCUCCUCCCAGGCCCUGCUUGCAUCUGCCCCUAGCCCUUGUUCACCCCUAGCAGUAGCAGGGGCACAGAGCUGGGCCCCGAACACGCUCACGCUGCCCGAGCCUGGCCUGCCUUAGGACUUGCAGCUUCCCUGCCUGGAACACACUUCGCACCCUGUCUGCAACCCUGGAGGAAUUUCCACAGAUGCAAGGAGGACAGCUGACCACCCUGACGCCCUGGGCUCGGACAAGCCCGGGCUGUGGGGCUGGCCCGGAGGCUCAGGGGUCCCGGAGGCCCGCACGCUCCCCAGCCGGGCUCCACAAGACCUCGGCACACCUCCUCACUGGGGCUGACCACAGGCCUUUCCACCCGCUGUCUCCACAGCCCAGUGUUGGAGCCUCUCCUGGGAGACCCCAGCCCCCAACGGACUGGCAGGCCCAAGGUCAGCGGUCUCCACAUUGACAGCAUCCCUCUACCCCAGGGCUGGUGUAACGGGGAGGGACGGAUUCGGCUCGAUAAGGCCCAUCUUGUGAGACAAUAAAUU